rnacentral:rRNA from 1 species
GACGUUACUAACGACGAUAUGCUUUGGGGAGCUGUAAGUAAGCUUUGAUCCAGAGAUUUCCGAAUGGGGAAACCCAGCAUGAGUUAUGUCAUGUUAUCGAUAUGUGAAUACAUAGCAUAUCAGAAGGCACACCCGGAGAACUGAAACAUCUUAGUACCCGGAGGAAGAGAAAGAAAAUUCGAUUCCCUUAGUAGCGGCGAGCGAAACGGGAAGAGCCCAAACCAACAAGCUUGCUUGUUGGGGUUGUAGGACACUCUAUACGGAGUUACAAAGGACGACAUUAGACGAAUCAUCUGGAAAGAUGAAUCAAAGAAGGUAAUAAUCCUGUAGUCGAAAAUGUUGUCUCUCUUGAGUGGAUCCUGAGUACGACGGAGCACGUGAAAUUCCGUCGGAAUCUGGGAGGACCAUCUCCUAAGGCUAAAUACUCUCUAGUGACCGAUAGUGAACCAGUACCGUGAGGGAAAGGUGAAAAGCACCCCGGAAGGGGAGUGAAAUAGAACCUGAAACCGUGUGCUUACAAGUAGUCAGAGCCCGUUAAUGGGUGAUGGCGUGCCUUUUGUAGAAUGAACCGGCGAGUUACGAUUUGAUGCAAGGUUAAGCAGUAAAUGUGGAGCCGUAGCGAAAGCGAGUCUGAAUAGGGCGUUUAGUAUUUGGUCGUAGACCCGAAACCAGGUGAUCUACCCUUGGUCAGGUUGAAGUUCAGGUAACACUGAAUGGAGGACCGAACCGACUUACGUUGAAAAGUGAGCGGAUGAACUGAGGGUAGCGGAGAAAUUCCAAUCGAACCUGGAGAUAGCUGGUUCUCUCCGAAAUAGCUUUAGGGCUAGCCUCAAGUGAUGAUUAUUGGAGGUAGAGCACUGUUUGGACGAGGGGCCCCUCUCGGGUUACCGAAUUCAGACAAACUCCGAAUGCCAAUUAAUUUAACUUGGGAGUCAGAACAUGGGUGAUAAGGUCCGUGUUCGAAAGGGAAACAGCCCAGACCACCAGCUAAGGUCCCAAAAUAUAUGUUAAGUGGAAAAGGAUGUGGCGUUGCCCAGACAACUAGGAUGUUGGCUUAGAAGCAGCCAUCAUUUAAAGAGUGCGUAAUAGCUCACUAGUCGAGUGACACUGCGCCGAAAAUGUACCGGGGCUAAACAUAUUACCGAAGCUGUGGAUUGUCCUUUGGACAAUGGUAGGAGAGCGUUCUAAGGGCGUUGAAGCAUGAUCGUAAGGACAUGUGGAGCGCUUAGAAGUGAGAAUGCCGGUGUGAGUAGCGAAAGACGGGUGAGAAUCCCGUCCACCGAUUGACUAAGGUUUCCAGAGGAAGGCUCGUCCGCUCUGGGUUAGUCGGGUCCUAAGCUGAGGCCGACAGGCGUAGGCGAUGGAUAACAGGUUGAUAUUCCUGUACCACCUAUAAUCGUUUUAAUCGAUGGGGGGACGCAGUAGGAUAGGCGAAGCGUGCGAUUGGAUUGCACGUCUAAGCAGUAAGGCUGAGUAUUAGGCAAAUCCGGUACUCGUUAAGGCUGAGCUGUGAUGGGGAGAAGACAU